ACACCCUCCGCCUGGACGCAGCAGCCACCGCCGCGUCCCUCUCUCCACGAGGCUGCCGGCUUAGGACCCCCAGCUCCGACAUGUCGCCCUCUGGUCGCCUGUGUCUUCUCACCAUCGUUGGCCUGAUUCUCCCCACCAGAGGACAGACGUUGAAAGAUACCACGUCCAGUUCUUCAGCAGACUCAACUAUCAUGGACAUUCAGGUCCCGACACGAGCCCCAGAUGCAGUCUACACAGAACUCCAGCCCACCUCUCCAACCCCAACCUGGCCUGCUGAUGGCGCCUAUAUCACAGCUUAUGGAGUCACACACUUCUUGAUGAACAUGUUGGCUGUUUCCAGCUUUUUCUGUCUACACACAGCACCACAAUGAGCAACUUUGUCCCUUCCUCCUUGAGCAAACGCACUUGGAAUAUGUACUGACUAUGUGCUGGUCAUGGUUCUAAAUAUUUUGCGUAUGUUAACUCAUUCAACCUUCACGCAAACCCUAAGAGGCAGAAAUUACCAUUGUCCCCAUUUUACAGACAAGGAAACAGAGGCUGUGAGUAACUGGUUCAAGGUCUCACAACAAGUCAGGGACGCAGCUGGAAUCGAAGUCCAGGAAUCUGGCACCAGAGCCUGUGCUUUUAUCCAAGACAAUACAGGGCAAAGGACAUGCAUGCUUAAUGUUUUAAAAUUUGCCCUCCUGCCGCCCAGGCACAGUGGCUCAUGCCUGUCAUCCCAGCACUUUUGGAGGCUGAGGCGGGUGGAUCGCUUGAGCCCAGG
rnacentral:lncRNA from 1 species